rnacentral:rRNA from 1 species
GACGAACGCUGACGGCGUGCUUAACACAUGCAAGUCGAAGGGAGUGGCGCACGGGUGAGUAACGCGUGGGUAACCUGGCCUUGUCUGGGGGAUAAGCCUGGGAAGGGUGGUAAAAUACUGGAUGGAUUGGGAUGGGGUCGCGGUGUAUAAGCUUGUUGGUGGGGUGAUGGCUUACCAAGGCGUUGAGGGGUAGCCGGCCUGAGAGGGUGGUCGGCCACACUGGGACUGAGACACGGCCCAGACUCCUACGGGAGGCAGCAGUGGGGGAUAUUGCACAAUGGACGAAAGUCUGAUGCAGCGACGCCGCGUGGGUGAUGAAGGCCUUCGGGUUGUAAAGUACUUUCAGCGGGGAGGCGUUACCCGCAGAAGAAGCACCGGCUAACUCCGUGCCAGCAGCCGCGGUAAUAC